AGGAUGAACGCUGGCGGCGUGCUUAACACAUGCAAGUCGAACGAUGAAGGCUGGAGCUUGCUCUGGCUGGAUUAGUGGCGAACGGGUGAGUAACACGUGAGUAACCUGCCCCAGACUCUGGGAUAAGCGCUGGAAACGGCGUCUAAUACCGGAUACGAGCUUCCACCGCAUGGUGAGGAGCUGGAAAGAAUUUCGGUCUGGGAUGGACUCGCGGCCUAUCAGCUUGUUGGUGAGGUAAUGGCUCACCAAGGCGACGACGGGUAGCCGGCCUGAGAGGGUGACCGGCCACACUGGGACUGAGACACGGCCCAGACUCCUACGGGA
rnacentral:rRNA from 1 species